CAUUUACUCUUCUUUUACGUUUCUCCCACAACGUGCAAAGAGAGAACUUUACAGCAUAAUAAGAACCCUAGCGAAGCAAUGGAGUUCGUCCCUUCGGGGACAUCCGAUAAAAUUGGAACGAUACAGAGAAGAUUAGCAUGGCCCCUGCGCAAGGAUGACACGCACAAAUCGAGAAAUGGUCCAAAUUUUUUUGCCGGUCGGUGGCGCUGAUGCUCCGGUUGAUCUGUAUUUUUUUGGCCGGCGACGGUCAAACGAGAUUUCUCGAAUUGGUUACAAUUACAAUAAAUUCAGUAUUUUUUUGCCGGUCGGAGGCGCUGUUGCUCCGGUUGAUCUGUAUUUUUUUGGCCGGCGACGGUCAAACGAGAUUUCUCGAAUUGGUUACAAUUACAAUAAAUUCAGUUUAGAUGGCGAAGCGAGCUCCGGUCAGAACAAAUAACCCAGCCCUCAUUGCUAUGAUUGAUGACGAGGAUACAAUCACUGGGUUUUUACUAGCAGGAGUUGGUAAUGUUGAUUUGAGGAGGAAAACUAACUAUCUUAUUGUUGAUUCAAAAACAACGGUGAAGCAGAUUGAAGAUGCUUUGAAAGAAUUCACCACAAGGGAGGACAUUGUGAUAGUAUAAAUCAGCCUAUAUGAAUUCCGACUUCAAACAGCAUUCCGACUGGCCUUUCCAUUGGAUGAAACACGUUGGUUACAAUUACAAGAAAUUCAGUUUAGAUGGCGAAUCGAGCUCCGUUCAGAACAAAUAACCCAGCCAUCAUUGCUAUGAUUUUUGACGAGGAUACAAUCACUGGGUUUUUACUAGCAGGAAUUGGUUAUGUUGAUUUGAGGAGGAAAGCUAACUAUCUUAUUGUUGAUUCAAAAAUAAUGGUGAAAUAGAUUGCAGAUGCUGUUAAAGAAUUCACCACAAGGGAGGACAUUGCGAUAGUGUUAAUCAGCCAAUAUGAAAAAAUAUAGACUUUCCUAAACGCAACAGUAGCUGAGAAGCCUGAUUGAGAAGUGGGAAAUUAAGUUUAAUCAGAGUAUGAUGUAUGAAGUUAAGCUUCGUAAAGAAUCUUUUAUGUGACAGUUCUACCACUUGCCCGGUAUACUUGUAUUUGCAAAGUCAACCUUGAAUGGUGUGUGGCCCUCGAAGGGGAGCCUUGGAGCAAUGGUAAAGUUGUCUCCGUGUGACCUAUAGAUCAUGGGUUCGAGUUGUGGAUGGUUACACUGGAGUAGGUUGUCAAUAUCAUAACCCUUUCCUUUUGGGUGCGGCCCUUCCUUGGACCCGGCUAAUGCGGGAGGCUUUGUACACCAGGCUGUCGUUUUAACCUUGAAUGGCGUCUAAAAAGCAAAGUUGAUGAAUCAGCCAUAUAAUGCUAGCUUCGAUGACUACAAAGAGGAGGGUCGUUUGUCUAAUAUGUGGCAGCCUCCGGAAUUGGACACUAAUGAGGACAUAAAUUACCUGUUAAUUGCACCAAACAACUUGAGAGAAAGUAGAAACACUUUCCAUAGUAAAAGUGGCUAAGGAUUUGCUUUCUGCAGUCAAAUCGUUUCGGUCUUUGUUUAUCAUUUCCGACUCCAGUAAAAUAUUUCCAAAUGUACUACCUCUAACUAAUAUCGUGCAUUCUUGUGAUAAUAAUCAAUUUUACAUUUUUGAACUUUGAUUGGUUUUGUUUUCUUCAUAUAUUAGCAAUUUGUAUGUUUUGCUUCAACGUCUCUUUAGGGCAACUAGCUGCUCCUCUUUUGCCUCUAUUUGGAGUGGCUCUAAUAAAUACUUUGGAUCGAAUAAAAGCUUCUCCCAUUUUUGCAUCAAUCGUAUAGUUAAUAUAUCCACUGGUUUCCAU